rnacentral:tRNA from 1 species
GCGAGCGUGCUGGAAUCGGCAGACAGGCAUGUUUGAGGGGCAUGUGUACGCAUGUACGUAUGGGUUCAAGUCCCAUCGCUCGCACCA